UAGGGAAUCUUCCACAAUGGACGCAAGUCUGAUGGAGCAACGCCGCGUGAGUGAAGAAGGUUUUCGGAUCGUAAAGCUCUGUUGUUGGUGAAGAAGGAUAGAGGCAGUAACUGGUCUUUAUUUGACGGUAAUCAACCAGAAAGUCACGGCUAACUACGUGCCAGCAGCCGCGGUAAUACGUAGGUGGCAAGCGUUGUCCGGAUUUAUUGGGCGUAAAGCGAGCGCAGGCGGAAUGAUAAGUCUGAUGUGAAAGCCCACGGCUCAACCGUGGAACUGCAUCGGAAACUGUCAUUCUUGGAUGCAGAAGAGGAGAGUGGAAUUCCAUGUGUAGCGGUGGAAUGCGUAGAUAUAUGGAAGAACACCAGUGGCGAAGGCGGCUCUCUGGUCUGCAACUGACGCUGAGGCUCGAAAGCAUGGGUAGCGAACAGG
rnacentral:rRNA from 1 species